UAAUAAUCUGCUUUGGGUAUGCUGAACAACCCGCCUCCUAAAUUAUAAUCGGGCAGUCUAACUUGAUUGAUACCAAUUUGGACCAAUUGUAGAUACUUCUAGCUUUCAAACAAACCCAAACUCGAUAGGAUUGACCACUCAGAGGCUGAGAAAAUCAAACGCGUAAUCAGCCCAAUGAGAUUUUACGCGUGUGUCUUGAGUUGUGUGUCAGCGGUACAGGCCAAUCGGCACAGCACUACAGGGCCGUGCAGAGAAACUAUCAGGAAAUGGCAGCUCCGCUCUAGCGGUCUUCCUGCAAACCUUUAUACAGCAGGUUUUUGCAUGUUUGGCAGUUUUUUCUGAUCGCUAGUUUUCUACUGGCUUUCACUGACUGUGCGAUUUAUUGGCGUCUUAUAGCGGCGGCGUGCUCCCGAAGAAGCCUGAAUGCGUCACAGCUUCUGGAGCAGUUAUUUCCGAGUGGUUCUUUUUUUUGAGGAAGACUGCGUGGAUUGAGUUGAGGGGCUCUAUCUACCUAAACCCCCCCCCCCCAAAGAAGUCAGAGGAUAGGGGUCACUCGUGUGUCUAUCAUUUGAGCCAUUCGGAGAGCAAGUGCUCAUUCACCUGGGCUUCUGGUGUUGGACAGUGGUAGAGAUCGUUCCCCAGAUGGCCGUUGAGUCCGUCCUGGAGGAGAGGCUCUUAAAUACCAGCUUGGUUUGGAUGGAGACCACUCGACCGGCACACACAUUUAUCUACUCCAACAUCUCCCUGGAGGAGUCUGAAAAGGCUGGAGAGAUUGCAAUAAUACCUCUAACAAAGAGUUUGACGGAUCCUCCUGGGCCUGUGUGGGUUUCCUCCAGCUUCUCCAGUUUUCUCUCACCUCUUGAAAACAUGAGGUGGCAGACCUCAUGCAGACCUCAUUUAAUGGCAGACCUAACAGUCUGACAUGUGAGACUACCAUGACUCUGACCAUCACAAAUAUGUUGAUGAUUGAAUGAAUUGUUUCAGCAUGAUUCUGAUGAUCAAACUGAUUUAUAAGGAAUAGUAAACAUGUAUGGUUUGACCAAUGAACCUAACCCAUAACUUGGUUUUGGAUGAAACCUUUGGAACAGAAACAUGUGCAAUUAAAUAGUUGAUCACAUUUCCAUGAUAUCAGUGUGAAGAUAUGCAUUUAAUAAAACAGGCAGUUAACAGUACUGUUCCGCAUGUAUAAGGAAUAGUAAACAUGUAAGGUUUGACCAAUGAACCUAACCAAUAACUUGGUUUAGGAUGAAACCAUUGGAACAGAAACAUGAGCAAUUAAAUAGUUGAUCACAUUUCUAUGAUAUCAGUGUGAAGAUAUGCAUUUAAUAAAUCAGGGAGCCAUGAAAGAAGUAGAGCUUCCUCAUGUCGUGAAUAUUACUUUUUUUAUUUAUAUUAUUACCCUCAGACUUACAGAUGUAUUUUUUAAGUAUGCAUAGUUAAAAUUCUAGUAUGCA
ensembl:lncRNA